rnacentral:rRNA from 1 species
GACGAACGCUGGCGGCGUGCUUAACACAUGCAAGUCGAACGGAAAGGCCCUGCUUUUGUGGGGUGCUCGAGUGGCGAACGGGUGAGUAACACGUGAGUAACCUGCCCUUGACUUUGGGAUAACUUCAGGAAACUGGGGCUAAUACCGGAUAGGAGCUCCUGCUGCAUGGUGGGGGGUGGAGAGUUUCGGCGGUUGGGGAUGGACUCGCGGCUUAUCAGCUUGUUGGUGGGGUAGUGGCUUACCAAGGCUUUGACGGGUAGCCGGCCUGAGAGGGUGACCGGCCACAUUGGGACUGAGAUACGGCCCAGACUCCUACGGGAGGCAGCAGUGGGGAAUAUUGCACAAUGGGCGGAAGCCUGAUGCAGCAACGCCGCGUGCGGGAUGACGGCCUUCGGGUUGUAAACCGCUUUCGCCUGUGACGAAGCGUGAGUGACGGUACUUGGUAAAGAAGCACCGGCUAACUACGUG